CGUGUAGGCGGCCAUUUAAGUCAGCUGUUAAAUCCCACGGCCUAACUGUGGAUAUGCGGUUGAUACUGGAUGGCUUGAGGUUGAGAGAGAGAAGUGGAAUUCUCGGAGUAGCGGUAAAAUGCGUAGAUCUCGAGAGGAACACCGAUGGCGAAGGCAGCUUCUUGGCUCAAAUCUGACGCUGAAAUGCGAAAGCGUGGGUAGCAAACA
rnacentral:rRNA from 1 species